AGAGUUUGAUCCUGGCUCAGAUUGAACGCUGGCGGCAGGCCUAACACAUGCAAGUCGAGCGGAAACGGCAGUAUUGAAGCUUCGGUGGAUUUGCUGGACGUCGAGCGGCGGACGGGUGAGUAACGGCUGGGAACCUGCCCUGACGCGGGGGAUAACCGUUGGAAACGACGGCUAAUACCGCAUAAUGUCUCAGUUCAUUACGAGCUGGGACCAAAGGUGGCCUCUACAUGUAAGCUAUCGCGUUGGGAUGGGCCCAGUUAGGAUUAGCUAGUUGGUAAGGUAAUGGCUUACCAAGGCGACGAUCCUUAGCUGGUUUGAGAGGAUGAUCAGCCACACUGGGACUGAGACACGGCCCAGACUCCUACGGGAGGCAGCAGUGGGGAAUAUUGCACAAUGGGGGAGACCCUGAUGCAGCCAUGCCGCGUGUGUGAAGAAGGCCUUCGGGUUGUAAAGCACUUUCAGCAGUGAGGAAGGUGGUGUACUUAAUAAGUGCAUGGCUUGACGUUAGCUGCAGAAGAAGCACCGGCUAACUCCGUGCCAGCAGCCGCGGUAAUACGGAGGGUGCGAGCGUUAAUCGGAAUUACUGGGCGUAAAGCGCAUGCAGGCGGUUUGUUAAGUCAGAUGUGAAAGCCCGGGGCUCAACCUCGGAACCGCAUUUGAAACUGGCAGGCUAGAGUCUUGUAGAGGGGGGUAGAAUUUCAGUGUAGCGGUGAAAUGCGUAGAGAUCUGAAAGGAAUACCAGUGGCGAAAGCGGCCCCCUGGACAAAGACUGACGCUCAGAUGCGAAAGCGUGGGUAGCAAACAGGAUUAGAUACCCUGGUAGUCCACGCCGUA
rnacentral:rRNA from 1 species